GUGCACUAAGGGAAGAACGAGGAAGAAGAGGAGGUGAUUGAAGGAGAAGAUCGGUUCGUUCAAAGGAGGAAAUCAAGCAAGGAUUUGAUAUUUGUUCAAGUCCAUUAAGAAGGGAGCCAAGGAAGAAGCAAGGAGAAGUUAGUACAGAAGAAAAAGCAAAAGCAAGAGCAAGUACUCCUAAGGGCAAGGGAGUAGUGAUUGGUGGAGUUUAAAGGUGCAGGAAGCUGGCGAUCAUUUGUACAUAUAUAUUUUG